rnacentral:rRNA from 1 species
UACGUAGGGGCAAGCGUUGUCCGGAUUCAUUGGGCGUAAAGAGCGUGUAGGCGGCCAGGUAGGUCGGUUGUGAAACUGGAGGCUCACCUUCAGAGUCGACCGAAACAUCUGCUAGAGUCGGAGAGGAGAGUGGAAUUCCUGUGUAGCGGUGAAAUGACGCAGAUAUCAGGAAGAACACCCGUGGCGAAAGCGGCUCUCUGGAACGGUACUGACGCUGAGACGCGAAAGCGUGGGGAGCGAACA